rnacentral:misc_RNA from 1 species
GAAAUGCGAUAAGUAAUGUGAAUUGCAGAAUUCAGUGAAUCAUCGAAUCUUUGAACACACAUUGCGCCCGCCAGUAUUCUGGCGGGCAUGCCUGUUCGAGCGUCAUUACAACCCUCAGGCCCCCGGGCCUGGCGUUGGGGAUCGGCGGAAGCCCCCUGCGGGCACAACGCCGUCCCCCAAAUACAGUGGCGGUCCCGCCGCAGCUUCCAUUGCGUAGUAGCUAACACCUCGCAACUGGAGAGCGGCGCGGCCACGCCGUAAAACACCCAACUUCUGAAUGUUGACCUCGAAUCAGGUAGGAAUACCCGCUGAACUUAAGC